rnacentral:rRNA from 1 species
AUGGCUCGUUCUUGGAGCUCGGGAUUCUGGUCACCAGACGAACUCCUCGAGGAACCCUCCCGCGAUGGAGGCGGCGGCGGCGACGACGACGUCUCGGCGCCGCACGAGCGGGUCACCUCGCGGCUGCGCAACCGAGGAGCCCUGGAGAAGAUCUGCAACAAGUACUCCAUCCCCGACAGCUUCACCCCAAUCCUCGCCGGCAACCUCGCCUCGUGGUCGCCGCCGCCGCCCGGCUCCGUCUGCGUGUACGUCGACUCGCUCAACGUGGGGAUGCGCCUGCCCCUCCACCCCUUCUUCGGCACGGUGCUCAACCACUUCGGGCUCGCCCCGAGCCAGCUCUUGCCCAACGGCUGGCGCGUCCUGGCGGGCUUCGUCGUGCUCUCCCACUUUGCCGGCGUGGAGCCGUCGCUGCCCGUGUUCCGGCACUUCUUCGCGCUGUGCCUGUUCCCACCGCACAGGUUCUACAGCUUCCGCGGCAAGGACAACCACGGCCUGCUCUUUGCCCGGAUGCGCAACAGAUUUGCCCGGGAUUGGAAGGGGGAUUUCUUCUUCUUGGCGUCGUCGGCGCCGUGGCCGUGCCCGGUGGAGUGGGGGCUGCCUUUCGGGUCCUCCACCUUGGAUCAGACGCUGACCGGCAAGGAGAAGGACAUGGCGAAGAAGCUGCUGCGUGCUCGAAGGAGUUCUCCGAGCUGCUGCAUUGUACUGACCCGUGAUUUGGAAUCCCUAUGUACUCGUGGCAGAGAAGGCAGCCACGGCCGCGGCCGCGGCUGCGUGCGUGUCGGCGGGGAAGGUGACGGUGAAGAGCGAGCCGGACUGCGAGGUGCUGCCUUGCGCGCCGUCGCUUGGGAAGAAAAGGAAGGUGGCGGACCACCGUGCUUGAGAGCUCGGCCUCGGAGCCCUCUGGGCCGCCGGGCUUCCCCGCCCCCUGCAAGCGGCCGUCCGCGACAGGCAAAGACGGUGACUGGAAGGCGGCGAGGCUGCUGCUGCAGGGCACCGUUACGCCGUCGCGGGAGCGCGAGCUCGCCGCGUCCAAGCCCGCCGACGUCGUCGCUUCAAGCUACGUGUCACUGCUCCAGGCGGCGAACGAGGUGUCAUUCUCGCUGGGCCGCGCUCUGGAGCUGGAGGAGAAGCUGCGGGCGCGCGAGCGCGAGGCGGACGCGCUGCGGGCGGAGCUGCGCGAGGCGAAGGCCGAGCUGGCGGCGCGGGGGUCGAGCAGGGAGCACGCGCACGCUCUGGCGGAGCGCGAGCGGCGGGGGUACGAGCGCGGCAUGGAGGACAUGA